rnacentral:rRNA from 1 species
UUGAACGCUGGCGGCAUGCUUUACACAUGCAAGUCGAACGGCAGCGGGGGCUUCGGCCUGCCGGCGAGUGGCGAACGGGUGAGUAAUGCAUCGGAACGUACCCAGUCGUGGGGGAUAACUACGCGAAAGCGUGGCUAAUACCGCAUACGCCCUGAGGGGGAAAGCGGGGGACCUUCGGGCCUCGCGCGAUUGGAGCGGCUGAUGUCGGAUUAGCUGGUUGGUGGGGUAAAGGCCUACCAAGGCGACGAUCCGUAGCUGGUCUGAGAGGAUGAUCCGCCACACUGGGACUGAGACACGGCCCAGACUCCUACGGGAGGCAGCAGUGGGGAAUUUUGGACAAUGGGGGCAACCCUGAUCCAGCCAUGCCGCGUGAGUGAAGAAGGCCUUCGGGUUGUAAAGCUCUUUCAGCCGGGAAGAAAAUGCAUGGGUUAAUACCCUGUGCAGAUGACGGUACCGGAAUAAGAAGCACCGGCUAACUACGU